GAGGAUAAGGCUAAAGACAGAGGCUCCAGCUACCUUGGUGACAAGGAAUGGAGGAGAAAAGGAACAGGAAAUUUUAAUAAGAUUAGGAGGGCUUGCUUUUCUGCCAAGUGAGGCCGCUUUCACAGGAGCGAUAAAUUGGAAAUGUUAUCUGGCUUGAUAUGCCAGUUUUUCUGAGAAAAUCACUCUGCCAGUGGUGAGAGAAUGGAAGAGCUGAAAACGUCUUCUUUUUUCAAAGUCAUAUGUCACAAACCAAGGAGACUCCAAAAAAUAAAUUAUGGAAGGCUGCAUUUGUAACCAAGCCCUGGUCCUUUUCAUUGCAUCUUGCCAGAAUGAAGAAGAGCUGAUCUCUCCAGUUCCUGUUAUUCCCUUUACAUUGCCCACAUUUAUUGCUCAAUAAACCACAGAAAUCCUUUUGUAAUCCGAGGAAGUUCCUGAGAUAAACUUUGUGAGUGGUCCACUAUUUCUGCAUUUCAC
rnacentral:lncRNA from 1 species